rnacentral:lncRNA from 1 species
GAAAAGUUUUAUAAACAGAAUACAAUCAAUUCUGAUGAUCAACAUUAUUAUAAUGAAAAGAAGUAAACUAUUUACAUAAGAAAUUUAGAGAAAUAAAGUUUAAAUAAAGAAAAAUGAUAAAAAUAGCUCAAUAAAUUGUAAAUUAACAGCAAAUUGAUAUAAAUACAAAAUGGUUUAUGAAAACAAAUAAUCAAAACAAAAAACUGCAAUAGUAAGACAACGCUGUCCAAAAACAGUAGCAGCGCGAUUGACGUCGCUACUGUUUGUGGCCAAUGCUCACAAUUAUAAAUAGUAACGGCGAUGUCGUCACAUUUGAAUAUGCGCUAAAUUUCAAAGGAUAAUAGGUUUCUGUACGACUCCACUGAUUUUCUACGGAGAAACUAAAAAGUCAAUGAAAAAUUGAAUUAAUGCAUAAUAAAGGAAUGAAAAAGUUAGAAAGGUACAAAAUUUUUGAGAAUUUUUGCAUGACCUUGAAAUUUUUCACAAAGCACAAUACAUGGCGUGGAGUCCCUCAGACGCCACUUCUACAGUGGCGGGUUAAAGUUAUUCCAGAUCUUCUUAUAAAUAUUCAACAUAAACCUGUGUGUGUUCCCAUGCAUACUCCCUAUCCUAAUUAUAUAAUCUAAUUCUUGUUUUUUUGUAGUUUGGAUAGAAAAGAAGAGUAAAUAUAAAUAACAUAGUAAACAUAAAACAGACUACAAAAAAAAGCUACUUUUGUAGUCUGUAUAUAAAUAAU